GAUGAACGCUAGCUACAGGCUUAACACAUGCAAGUCGAGGGGCAGCGGGUUGAAAGCUUGCUUUCAAUGCCGGCGACCGGCGCACGGGUGCGUAACGCGUAUCAAACCUGCCUCAUACUCGGGGAUAGCCUUGCGAAAGUAAGAUUAAUACCCGAUGUUGUUGCUUUCUCGCAUGGGAGAGUAACCAAAGAUUUAUCGGUAUGAGAUGGUGAUGCGUCCGGUUAGGUAGUAGGCGGGGUAACGGCCCACCUAGCCUUCGAUCGGUAGGGGUUCUGAGAGGAAGGUCCCCCACACUGGAACUGAGACACGGUCCAGACUCCUACGGGAGGCAGCAGUGAGGAAUAUUGGUCAAUGGGCGAGAGCCUGAACCAGCCAAGUAGCGUGCAGGAUGACGGCCCUCCGGGUUGUAAACUGCUUUUAGUUGGGAAUAAAAAAAGGGACUUGUCCCUUCUUGUAU
rnacentral:rRNA from 2 species